GGCCUGAUAGCUCAACUCAGUGGAGCACUGCACCAGCAUUGCAGAGGUCAGAGUUCAAGUCCCAUUUAGGCCU
rnacentral:tRNA from 1 species